rnacentral:rRNA from 1 species
UAGGGAAUCUUCGGCAAUGGACGAAAGUCUGACCGAGCAACGCCGCGUGAGUGAAGAAGGUUUUCGGAUCGUAAAACUCUGUUGUUAGAGAAGAACAAGGACGUUAGUAACUGAACGUCCCCUGACGGUAUCUAACCAGAAAGCCACGGCUAACUACGUGCCAGCAGCCGCGGUAAUACGUAGGUGGCAAGCGUUGUCCGGAUUUAUUGGGCGUAAAGCGAGCGCAGGCGGUUUCUUAAGUCUGAUGUGAAAGCCCCCGGCUCAACCGGGGAGGGUCAUUGGGAACUGGGAGACUUGAGUGCAGAAGAGGGGAGUGGAAUUCCAUGUGUAGCGGUGAAAUGCGUAGAUAUAUGGAGGAACACCGGUGGCGAAGGCGGCUCUCUGGUCUGUAACUGACGCUGAGACUCGAAAGCGUGGGGAGCAAACAAG